CUACAUAGAGUGAGCUCACAUCAUUAUUUAUAUCACCAAGGUAUCCAUGGUCUAGAAGCAGAGAACCGGUCGGAGAAGUCAGAAUAAAGUUGUGCGCUUCUCUCAACAAUGCAAUCGGCAAGCCAGCGGAUUCACUUUGCUAGCCAAUGACAAGUCCUAAAAGAUCCACGUGAUCAUGCCCGUGAUCGGAAACAAAGAAGACUCCAUUUGGCGCUCAUCUUUGAAUGUACUUUUCAUCGAUUGAUCGUUUUUCUCAACUGUUUUGCUUAAUAUAACAUUUCUAAAGAUAACUUUUAUUGUGGUUCAAUGGGAAAACGAGAACAGCGUGAGUGUUGUAAAAGAAAGGAAAGUCGUUGGCGCCGUGGAGUUAAAAGAAGGGACAACAGUUGACAUAUUGACUGGUACAAACAAGGGUCGAGUGGCCAUCUGUAAAGCUACGAUUUUGAAAGUUUGUGAUGUCAUGGAAUCCAGAUACAAAAUGGUCAAGCUUCUUGUAGACAACCUCAUUCAAGGCCAACUCAUUGUGAGCCCAGGAAAAAAAAUACAAACAGUAGCUAAGUUUGCA